UACGUAGGGACCGAGCGUUGUCCGGAAUCAUUGGGCGUAAAGAGCGUGUAGGCGGCCACUUAAGUCCUGCGUGAAAUCUUGCGGCUCAACCGCAAGCGGUCGUGGGAAACUGGGUGGCUAGAGUGCGGGAGAGGAGAGUGGAAUUCCUGGUGUAGCGGUGGAAUGCGCAGAUAUCAGGAAGAACACCCGUGGCGAAGGCGGCUCUCUGGAACGCAACUGACGCUGAGGCACGAAAGCGUGGGUAGCAAACAGG
rnacentral:rRNA from 1 species